rnacentral:rRNA from 1 species
UACGUAGGGUGCGAGCGUUAAUCGGAAUUACUGGGCGUAAAGCGUGCGCAGGCGGCUGCUCAAGUCAGGGGUGAAAGCCCAGAGCUCAACUCUGGAAUUGCCUUUGAGACUGAGUGGCUUGAGUACGGGAGAGGUGAGUGGAAUUCCCAGUGUAGAGGUGAAAUUCGUAGAUAUUGGGAAGAACACCGGUGGCGAAGGCGGCUCACUGGCCCGUAACUGACGCUCAUGCACGACAGCGUGGGGAUCAAACAGG